ACCUUUUGCUUUGCUGGAUGAUGCCCAACCAACUGAGCCACACCGGUCAGGGCAUGUCAACUUAAACUUUAAAAGGAUUGUUGCUUCAUGCUUUGCAAUACAGACAAGUGAUAUUUCUAAUUGCUCAGUUGCCUGUUUUUGCUCUCCUUCGGUCCUGGCCGGGGAAACAUCUUCGGUUUCCACUGCAUGCGUGGCCCAGGGCAGAAACACCUUUGCCUCAGAACCCUGGCGUUGCCAUCCUCCCAUCACCUCCAACACCCUGCACAGAGGCGGACGCCGGGCCUCUGACCCUCAGCUGUUCCACCGUGUCAGUAUCACAGGCAGCAAGACGCAUUCCAGAGGCAGGGGAUUAACCUCCAAGAUGACACUCAGUUUUAGCUUCAGCCUCCCUAAAUCCUCAACCAAAACUUUAACAUCCAGCUCUCAUUUGGGACCUUAACUGUAAAUCUCCUCCCUUCUCAUGUACUCACUAAAGGAUGAGUAGAAUCAAUUUGGACCUUUUCUGGUCAAUUGCCCCUUAAUUUCCUGUAGGAGGCAAGGUAAUGGGUAAGAACUUCCGUCAUCAUGAGCCCCACUUAAAGGCAAGAAAAAGGAGAAAAAAAUGGAGGGUGGGGAGAAACACUAUGAAUGCCACAGGUGGGAAUUUCUGAAAAUACCCGAAGCCACAUCGAUCACUUAUCGAUACAAAGCCAACCGGCUGGAAUGAUAAAAACAGCAGUAACCGAGUCUAUACACAAUUCUUAGAGCCUCGUUGAUCAGCGACUGAUCCCUGCCAUAAGAACAGAUCUCCUUUUCACUCAAGUGAGGGUCUGCAGGGGUAUUUUCAAAAGUAAAUAAAUGGCCACAAAGGGGGGGAAAAAGAUCAGUAAAGAGCUGAGUCUCUCAAGAACAUCCCUGACAAAAUAAACCCCGUGUUUAUGCACACUCCCUCGGCCGGUCUGAGCCAGAGAUCCUUCCUGCAACUUAAAACCAACUGCACAGGAGUUGAGAGAAAUGUCCGGAAUUAGCUUAGUCAAAUGCUGCCUUAAAUAAAUGCUCCUCUGGUCUUAACAAGAUGCUAGGGCCAAAGCCCUUUUGUUUGACCUUACCGAUUCCCCACUUUUUUGCCAUUGCACAAUCUUUUCUCUUUUUUGCUUAUAUGACAUCUGAAAUGUAGCCACUUCUUUCAAAUUCCAGUUGGCACAUUUAAAAAUAAAUAGUGUCUAGCUUUCUUCUGAUUAUAAGUAUUUACUUGUUAAAAAAAAAGCCAAACUACUCAAAAGUAAUAAAUAACCACCUGUAUUAUUUCUCCCAGUCUUUUCAUGAAUAUACAAAUUUUAUAACGAUAGAGCCUUUUCUUCAUGUUAAGCAAUCUUCAAAAUGGGAUUUUUUUAAAUCUUCAGCAUUUUAUCAUAUACAGUAGAUAGUCAACACGUACCCCAUUGUUUGACUAUACUUUCAAGUUUUUUUCUGUUAUAAAUAAUGCUUUGGUAAACACCCUUGUAUAUAAAAUUUUAUCCUCAUAUCUGAGUAUUUCCUUAAAAUAGUUACCUAGGACAAGAAUUCCCAGGUCAAAGGGGCCUAUUGUUUGAAAAUGGGUCUAAGACUGUUUCAUUUGAAAUUAUUGACAUGAGUCAAGGUGACUGGUAUUCUACCGAACUAGGUUAGGGAAACUCCCAGAAGCAGCCCUGCCAUGCCCAAGGGUACUGGGGUUUUGAUAACUGAGGAUGCAGAACAUCCAUGUUUUCAAGAAACGAACAAACACAGUGACUAGAUGUUGCAUAUCCACAGGUCCGACCUGUCCCCACCCACAGUCACAGAUCACACCCGUGACAAUGUAGUCAUCACGCUGAGUUACCGUGCAUCACAAGGGGAGGCAGCCUGGGAGAAGCCCACCAUGGGCCCCCGCCGCUGCUCUCACUGUGCCGGGCACGGGGCUGAGACGAGGGAUCAACUUCAGCAAAGCAAGUCACAUAUUGGACACACUCGGGGUCCCCACUUGCUCCUGCCACCACCAAGACAUAAGUGAUGUCCAAGAGCAGGGUGAAAGUCCAUUUUAAGAGAUCUCUGCUUAAAGGCUGAAUGGAGUCUAUCAUCCCUGAGAGAGUGCAUCUUUUGUGAAGUAGGCACAGUAUUGUGAGCUGAUGCUUUAGGGAAGAUUCAAAGCAAGUCACCUACGAUAGGAUUACCAUUUUCUUAAAAUCUUACCUGGAAAUUGUCCUACAAGACCACCCUAUCAGGACAGCGGUCCUCUGUUAGACUAACAUUUUCCAACAAGUGAAUUCCAUUAGACCCCUCCUCUAACUCCUGGAGAUAUUUUGUUUACAACUGAUAUGGCCUCAAAUGUGUAAAUGACCGCUUCUCACUGUCUUGCGGAACAAAGGCCACCAUUUAUCAUCUGGCCCCCAACAACCCCGUCAGUGACUUCUCAUUCCCAGUCCUUGAUGCCCCUUUACGCUAAAGCACUUCACAUUUCCUAAGCCUUCUGAGCUCUCUCGGGCCUCCUCAAAUGCCAUUUCUCUCUCCUGGCAUGGACCCACUCCUGAUCUAGAAGAACCCCCUAUAUUUCAAGAACUAUCGCAAGUACCCCCUUCUCCUCCGAGAAGCCUUCCCAGGUCCUCCUGCAGACUUGGAAUCUCUCACCUCAGGGUCUCCCCAGGCUUCCCUCCAGAACCAUAUCUAUCAUUCCUUUGUGGCCCCACCUGCUCGCUGAUCCCCCCAGAUAGAAAUAUUCUUGAAGAUAAGAACCACAUUUUCUCCUCUCUGUAUCCUCAGAAUCUGGGAUACAGGUGAUAAAUAUCUACUUAAUUCUGAAAAAACAAUAAGCCUGAAGGUAGCUUGAUAAAAUAAUGUAGGUGGCAUGAUAAAGGGUCACCUACAACAGAGAAAUAACUAAGAAGCCAAAAUAAAUGAGCUGAGAGCACCAGGAGUCCCCAAGACAUUCUGGCUGCAAACCGCGGGUACGGAACACCACGGCUUACUGUAAAGGACCCUGUGCGGGAAUGUCUGCAAAACCAAAUUGUACUAACAAAUAACACCCAGACUUUUCCACUAUGUGGCAACCAUCUUAAUUUUUUUUCAUGAAAUAGGGAAUAUCAUCUGUAAUAAUAAAAACAAAUUCUAAUCUAUAAAGUCUCAAUGGCAUAAUCCAAACUUUUUCUUUGGUGCAUUCUAAACAUGCAUCACCUAAAUGAUGCCAAAUCUGAAGCUAACACCCAUGAAGCCGACGCUGAAUGGCAGCAGAUGGAGAGAAUUCCCACAGAGGUACCGAGGGAGCAAAGCAAACCCAUUAGCUCAGGGGUUAUCUUCGAUAUGGAGAGCACUGGUUCUAAGCCAACCGGAGCUAGUAUUGUGGUCUAUUAAAAUCUCAAACAUCCUCUUGUCUUUCUGAUAAGGCAAAGAAACAUGGGGAACCACUGUAACUCUGGGAUGCUCAUGGGUUGCGAGAAUGAGCAGGAAACAGAGGAGUUAUCCAGUGUAGCUUCCCUCCCAACGAAGGCAUCCCUUCCCAAUGUCCCUGACAAACAGCUGCUCUGGCUGCUGUAUGCCUGCCCUGGGAACUGAAGAUCGAGUGCAGACGACAGGAAAGCAUCCUCCCUCAUGGACUUAACAUUCUAGGGGGAAGAGAGACAAAAGCAAGU